GACGAACGCUGGCGGCGUGCUUAACACAUGCAAGUCGAGCGAGGCCCCUCCUUCGGGAGGGUGUCCUAGCGGCGAACGGGUGAGUAACACGUGGGCAACCUGCCCUCAGCUCUGGGAUAACUCCGGGAAACCGGGGCUAAUACCGGAUACGACCUCCACGGGCAUCUGCGGAGGUGGAAAGUUUUUCGGCUGAGGAUGGGCCCGCGGCCUAUCAGCUAGUUGGUGGGGUAGUGGCCACCAAGGCGACGACGGGUAGCCGGCCUGAGAGGGCGACCGGCCACACUGGGACUGAGACACGGCCCAGACUCCUACGGGAGGCAGCAGUGGGGAAUAUUGCGCAAUGGGCGAAAGCCUGACGCAGCGACGCCGCGUGAGGGACGAAGGCCUUCGGGUUGCAAACCUCUUUCAGCAGGGACGAAGCGAAAGUGACGGUACCUGCAGAAGAAGCACCGGCCAACUACGUG
rnacentral:rRNA from 1 species